AGUGAACGCUGGCGGUAGGCCUAACACAUGCAAGUCGAACGGCAGCACAGUAAGAGCUUGCUCUUACGGGUGGCGAGUGGCGGACGGGUGAGGAAUACAUCGGAAUCUACUUUUUCGUGGGGGAUAACGUAGGGAAACUUACGCUAAUACCGCAUACGACCUACGGGUGAAAGCAGGGGAUCUUCGGACCUUGCGCGAUUGAAUGAGCCGAUGUCGGAUUAGCUAGUUGGCGGGGUAAAGGCCCACCAAGGCGACGAUCCGUAGCUGGUCUGAGAGGAUGAUCAGCCACACUGGAACUGAGACACGGUCACGACUCCUACGGGAGGCAGCAGUGGGGAAUAUUGGACAAUGGGCGCAAGCCUGAUCCAGCCAUACCGCGUGGGUGAAGAAGGCCUUCGGGUUGUAAAGCCCUUUUGUUGGGAAAGAAAAGCAGCAGGUUAAUACCCCGCUGUUCUGACGGUACCCAAAGAAUAAGCACCGGCUAACUUCGUG
rnacentral:rRNA from 1 species